GGACAAAAUGAGAUAGCAGAGAAGGAAAGGAAAGUAAAAGUCAUAUAAAAGUGGGUCUGGAGUAAACAACAGACGAACUGAGCUAUUUUUGAAAGAACAUGACCACCUUCAAAAAUAUGACAAGGCCAACAGAAGCCCACAUGACUCCCAUUGAAAAGAUAGUUACAGUCACAGAUCCCAAGAGGAAUAGUCAUGCCAUGCCAUGGAGAAUACACAGUUGAGUAAGGUCUAGCCCUCGCUUCCUGAGGGUUUAUGUCAUGAAUGCAUAUUGA